rnacentral:rRNA from 1 species
UAGAGGAAGUAAAAGUCGUAACAAGGUUUCCGUAGGUGAACCUGCGGAAGGAUCAUUACCGAGUGAGGGCCCUCUGGGUCCAACCUCCCACCCGUGUUUAUUUUACCUUGUUGCUUCGGCGGGCCCGCCUUUACUGGCCGCCGGGGGGCUCACGCCCCCGGGCCCGCGCCCGCCGAAGACACCCUCGAACUCUGUCUGAAGAUUGAAGUCUGAGUGAAAAUAUAAAUUAUUUAAAACUUUCAACAACGGAUCUCUUGGUUCCGGCAUCGAUGAAGAACGCAGCGAAAUGCGAUACGUAAUGUGAAUUGCAAAUUCAGUGAAUCAUCGAGUCUUUGAACGCACAUUGCGCCCCCUGGUAUUCCGGGGGGCAUGCCUGUCCGAGCGUCAUUGCUGCCCUCAAGCCCGGCUUGUGUGUUGGGCCCCGUCCUCCGAUUCCGGGGGACGGGCCCGAAAGGCAGCGGCGGCACCGCGUCCGGUCCUCGAGCGUAUGGGGCUUUGUCACCCGCUCUGUAGGCCCGGCCGGCGCUUGCCGAUCAACCCAAAUUUUUAUCCAGGUUGACCUCGGAUCAGGUAGGGAUACCCGCUGAACUUAAGCAUAUCA